UUAUGAGGCAUAUUUUGCGACUCGUGUGGCGACGUAAACGCUCAGUUAAAUAUAACUGCAAAAAAUAACACUUCUUACGCUCUAGCUGCCUAAAAACCAGCAGGCGUGACCCGAUUUGGAUUGCUCUUGUCCAAUGACAGGUCUUAUUAUUAGCGAGAUACGAUUAAGCCUUGUCUAGCGGCUUGAUAAGAGAUUGAUAGACUCGCAGUUUCUAGACUUGAGUUAUGUGUCGAGGGGCUGUUAAAAUAAUACAUAACCUAUGGUUGUAGACAAAUAUGUUGGCAGGUGUUUGGACGUGGGUUCGACUCCCACCGGCUCCAUUA
rnacentral:tmRNA from 1 species